GCACCUCCUUCGUUCCUAAACUUAAGAAAAGUUACGUCGAGCGACCCAUCGUCACCCCAGCUGAUUUAGAGGGAAAGUCACCAGAAGAGCAGGAAAUGCUUAAAACGAUGGGCUUUUGUGGCUUCGAUACAACAAAAGGACUCCCGUGUUACAAAAAGUUUACAGAUGCACCUCAAAAAAAUUUUAGGAACAAUCGAAGAAGGUAAAUUUGUCAAAAUUUAACACAAUUCCUGUGAGAAAAUUAUAAAGUUUACAUCAUAGCUAUAACUUAAAUAUUCUAUAAAGCAGCUGAGUUUAUUCAAUGAAACCAUUUUACGGUGGCAAUAUAAAUUCAGCUGUUUAUGUUUUGCAUAAGGAUAUCGGUGUAGCAUCUCAACUUUGCAUUACUAAACUCCCAUGAAGCUUAGAGGUAUUAGUUAUAACUGAACACAUGCACUACCAUCUCUAUCAGUGAUAAUAGUGUCGUUUUUGUAGACAUUCUAUUUAAUAAGAUUUUUACUUUCUCUAGGCCAAAGGCAGCCAUUAAAUAGCCUUUAACUGUUUUUUUACAGUUGUUGGCAAUAAUCAAACAUCACUGUAAAACAAAUGAUUCAAUGCCAGACUUGUUAACAAUUUGCCGACAAUUUACAUCUUGAGAUAAUUGGAAUAUUAUAUCGAUUUUAAAAGUUAUCCUUCGUCUUAGAUAUACACAUGUUACCAAACAUGAGUCUUGCAAGUUGAGAUGUUAUUACCAACUAGAAUAGGCCGUUACACUGUGCCCGUGCGUUGCUUACGCCCGCACGGUGCCCGAAAUAGCGCCAUGCGCACCAAGAAACAUGUUGAAGUUGGCUCUGAAGCGAUUUGUAAGGUCUUAGUGAAGUAAUGGACUAUCUACCCUCAUUCCAAACAAUAUUAUUUACCUUCUAUACAAUCAUAGACUAUCUACCCUCAUUCCAAACAAUAUUAUUUACCUUCUAUACAAUCUGCACUUUCCAGAUUAUCUUAUAAGCUCAAGCCAUUCAAUUUAAAUCAUUCAGCCUUCACUAAACCGUUAAUAAGACUGAAGCUAAAGUGCCUUAGUUUUAAGUUUCCCGCGCGACGUGUCUUCAAUAGAUAUAUUUUUACACAUAUACACCCCAUACCCCCAAUCCUCCACAACUACAAUAGUUAAAGAUUGUCGAGUCAUAGUGUUGUUUUUUUUUUUAAUUUUCCAUAAACGAAUACAGCACUAUGCCACGACAGUCUCCAUAGACAAUAUACAAAUGUUAUAUUAUUAUUGUAUUUUUAUACGCACCCACGUCGCGCGGGGGGGCACGCAUGGCGUUUGACAUCGCGUCAAAGCCAACUUCACUUGUUUGUCACAACACCAGCACCCCCUGAAUGAAUCAAACUAGCGAAAAUUUCAAAGAAAAUUUAAGUAUCAAGAAAAAUGUGAUUUGGAUUAUAUUUGUAUAAAGCAGAGUUGUUCGUUUGUUUGUGGACUUUUGGCGAUUGUCCAGUUAACAAAAACUCAUGCAGUUUGAAAUUUAAAAAUCAGUUUUACCACUAACAUUUUUGGUUUAAUCACCAAACCAUUUAGUAAUUUUCCAUUGGAAAACCAGAUUCAUUCCCACGUGUAUAUACCACGUUUUUUUUAAUUCCAAAAUUGUAAACUUUCGGUCGUAAGUGUAAAUUGAAAUAAGUAUAAGAUGUUUGUACAAUUUCAUUAAAUUAAUUUCUCAAACACAUUUAUUUCUGUUAUAAAAACAUAUGGUACCAAAAAAUGUGUGAUUACAAUCAUUUUAAUUCCAUAUUGUCUACUAAUGUUUACUAAGCCAAGAGAUUUUUGAUUCAAAUUUGAGUGUACCUCCACUAAAAUUUAAAAUUCUGUUUUGAAUUUAAAAAAAAAAAGUCUUAACUCUUGCAUAAUUUGAGACGAUAUAACAAUCUUCGUAAACAGUUCGAUUUAUACGAUGAUAUAAAAAUGAUUGUGAACUCUUAAUAAUCUUUAGUUUUCUGUACCAUAAGUAAAAAGAACGGAAUGAAAAUACAAAAUUAGUUUUUAAUGUAUGUAUAUUUCGAAUAAUAACAAAAAAAUACAAAAUAAUUUAAUUUGAGACGUUAUUUUCCACAUUUGUUUUCGUCAUAUGUAAUAGAAAUAAAUGCUUAUGUAUGGUUUUGUAAUUUCUGUUUGAUCACAGAUUUUAAGGUUGGUACGAAAAUAUUGUUUGUGAUCAGAUGUCGAAAGUUUGAAUUAAAUUAUGAGUUUAAAA